ACUACGGGAGGCAGCAGUGGGGAAUAUUGGGCAAUGGGCGCAAGCCUGACCCAGCAACGCCGCGUGAAGGAAGAAGGCUUUCGGGUUGUAAACUUCUUUUCUCAGGGACGAAGCAAGUGACGGUACCUGAGGAAUAAGCCACGGCUAACUACGUGCCAGCAGCCGCGGUAAUACGUAGGUGGCAAGCGUUAUCCGGAUUUACUGGGUGUAAAGGGCGUGUAGGCGGGGACGCAAGUCAGAUGUGAAAACCACGGGCUCAACCUGUGGCCUGCAUUUGAAACUGUGUUUCUUGAGUACUGGAGAGGCAGACGGAAUUCCUGGUGUAGCGGUGAAAUGCGUAGAUAUUAGGAGGAACACCAGUGGCGAAGGCGGUCUGCUGGACAGCAACUGACGCUGAGGCGCGAAAGCGUGGGGAGCAAACAGGAUUAGAUACCCCUGUAGUC
rnacentral:rRNA from 1 species